rnacentral:rRNA from 1 species
GACGAACGCUGGCGGCGUGCUUAACACAUUCAAGUCGAACGGAAAGGCCCUGCUUUUGUGGGGUGCUCGAGUGGCGAACGGGUGAGUAACACGUGAGUAACCUGCCCUUGACUUUGGGAUAACUUCAGGAAACUGGGGCUAAUACCGGAUAGGAGCUCCUGCUGCAUGGUGGGGGUUGGAAAGUUUCGGCGGUUGGGGAUGGACUCGCGGCUUAUCAGCUUGUUGGUGGGGUAGUGGCUUACCAAGGCUUUGACGGGUAGCCGGCCUGAGAGGGUGACCGGCCACAUUGGGACUGAGAUACGGCCCAGACUCCUACGGGAGGCAGCAGUGGGGAAUAUUGCACAAUGGGCGGAAGCCUGAUGCAGCAACGUCGCGUGCGGGAUGACGGCCUUCGGGUUGUAAACCGCUUUCGCCUGUGACGAAGCGUGAGUGACGGUAAUGGGUAAAGAAGCACCGGCUAACUACGUG